CCCGCGCUCUUCCACAGGAGAAUGAAUGUGAAGAAUGCCAGAGCAAAUUGAAGUCUCUUGAGCCUGGUGAAGAUGAAAUCUGCUUCUGUCCUUGUAUAGAGCUAUGGGUUUGUUUACGUGGCUUCUCCUUCCCUUUUCUGACUGGGCUUUCUCACCUGCAGUUUUCAGUAGAAAAGUGAAGCCAUAGGUGGAAUAAAUAGACUCCACAACCUGAUGUAGUUAUGAAGUGGGUCUGUAUUGUCAGCACCCGGCACAAUCGAGAUAGCUCUCCUGAAAACUUGUGCCUUGAGCCCUGGUCUGAGCCCCAUCUUUUACUCACAAAGGUGCUCCAUAUAGAUGACAUUGCUCAACCUUUUCAUGCAUAUCCAACCCCUGGCCCUGCCUGUCCUCGCCUGGCAUGAUAAUUAGAUCCAUGCCCUUCUGAGCAUGCCUUGUUCAUGGUGGGGGUCACAUGGGAGUCUUUGGUGAUCUCUGAGGCCGAAGACUGUGGUCAUCCUUAUGGCUGAACUUUUCAACUUUUCUCCUUUGCGCGUGUGCUUUGGUCCCUUGGUGCUUAUCUGAGUACGUCUGUUGGUCUUAAUGAGCUUGGAGACAGAGGAGUCCCUUUAUCUGGGUUUCUGCAUCUUCUCCCAGUAUUGUUUUUUAUGCAAGAAGCUUCUGAAAUUUGCAUUUUUCUAUUCUUUUUGUACUAUGACAGAGGUUUCUUAAGUAAAAGGUUAAAAUUCAACAUAUAAUUCUGCAAGCUAAAAUUUAAAUGCUUCAUUCAUAUUGCUAACUCAAGGGAGCUCCAAAAAUCUCUCUUUCAAAAGCAACAAACCUUUGAAAGGUUGAACCUCAAGAUAACUGUGAUCCUCAAUCAAUACCUCCUUCUUCCACUUGCUUAAAAUCUCUUUGUCCUGGGCACUCACUAUGGCCUUUUUCCUGGAAGCUCUCUGGCUGUCUUGAAUGCUUAUGGAGUAAAAGGUAAUCCCUGAUCUAUUUUCAACUCUGCCCAGAGAGAGAUUGCUGGAAGGGAGAUAGGACUGGUACUGGGGACCUGGCAGCUUGUCCAGGAAGCAAAAUUAUUGAAAUAAUGGUAAUGUGGACAAGGCAUGCAAGUCCAGGUGGUGAGCUCAAAUAUGCAAGUACUUGCAGUUUCCCCUCAGCACUUGACUGUUUAGGGGUAUGGUCUCUUCUUAUUUCUGUCUCUUAAUCCUCAAUCCUUGCCACACUCCUUCAACAUCUUUUGCAUUGUCAUCUUCCCUGUUUUCUCCCUCCCUUCUUCUUUCUGUGACUUUCUGUACACGACAGACAAUCUGUCACACACUGUCAGCUUGCUCAGUCACUCGAGCAGUGAUAAUGAUGGUGUAGAAAUUGUAGGUGCACAGGAGGCAAAGGUGUCAUGCUUCUGUGUGCCCUCUGCAGGCAAACCUGCUUCCCAAAGCUUCAGUCACACUUGGAACAAAGGCUUGUCCCUACUGCUUUGUUGUGGUUUAUGCAUUGAUGGAGCAACACUUCUGUCUCAGCCCGCUUAAGCCACUGCAAAGCUGGAAUUGUUGCUUUAGCAGCAGAUGUGCUGGCAGGGUUCUUACAGCUCCAUAGUAAGAACCCUGCAGUUCUUCUAGAAGAGGUUUGUGAUCUUUGUGCAAUGAAAACGAUGCCUUCAACUGCUGCAGUGCAAGUCAUGCAGUCAUGUAGAUGCGUUUUCAGACACAGGUAUUUCUAUAUAUGCCUAGUGAGUGGCCUUGUGGGGAGCAGGGACAAACGAGGAAGGAAAGUGGGCUCACAAAACAUGAUUCUUCUUCAACAAAAAGCCAUGACUUCCCUUUACAGAAAAGGAUAUAAACUUUUUCUUGAAGGGAAUAAACAAGUCUCUCUCUAUGUCCUGCUCCUUUGCUAGUUUGAAAUUGUUCAGAAAGGUUGUAAUUUUUUGUUUGGGGUUUUUUUUUUUUUUUUUGGUAGGGGGGUGGGGUCUGCAUUUCAAGCCUGUUCUCCCAGCAGUCAGGGACCUGCACAGCUGCUGUGGGUGGGGCAGGUGCUCAAGUAAUUACCAACAGCUGCUUGGUAAUUACUGACAGCCAGGUGAGAAGUUGGCUUGUGCCUGGUUGAGGGCUUGAGGACUGUGCUGAGAGAAGGGCUAAGGAGUGGAGUGGGAAAUACAAUUUACACAAGCAGAACCUGCUGUCCCCGUGCGCUCGGAACAGGCGUGGAGGGUCCCCAAGGCAUCCUCAGAAUGGGCUUUGCCCUCACCUUGGCUUGUGCUGCUGCAGAUUUUGGAGACAAUUGUGCAUAAGAAUGGGCACUAGAACCAGACUUGGGGCUGGCAUGCUCUGCAUUUCCAGGAUGGCUCAUGGACAGGGUAAGGUGCUGUCGGUGCUCUCUGCAUCUAGCUGUGAUUCUAUGGACACUUCAGCAAGAGAGGUUUUUUCAGGGUGAUUAAACCUUCAUCCUUGCUAUGCUUCCUGUGACAUUUGCAUCUCUAUUUUGUAAAACUUCAGAAAUCUGAGUCAUCUUUGGCCCUGUGAAAUGUUACAAACAUCAGCAAAAGCCAUCAUAGUUUGCAUGUGAAAAUACAUACUUUUUGACAUUUGGGAGUUGGAAAUUCUGAUAAUUUAAAACCAAUUUCUAUUGCUGAUGAUACAGAAAGGGGGCAGGUUGGUGCCUUGGGGCCUAUGUUUGCUACUGUUGCCUGAAAAAAAAUCUUUUGCAGUAGCACCCUAUGGCCCUGGAUGGCCAGAACGGAGGUCCAGGAGGCUUGACAGGUGUUUACUACUGAGUCCUUGACCUUUUAAGCAAAUAAAAGUUAUAAAUUCUUAGAACUAUGUAUUUAUAAAAGAAAAGUAUAAAGGAGAGAUGUUGUACACUGUGUGUGUCCCACCUUAAACAUAUGACAUUAUAAAAACACACUUUCCAAACA